GAUGAACGCUAGCUACAGGCUUAACACAUGCAAGUCGAGGGGAAACGAUAGAGAAAGCUUGCUUUUUCUAGGCGUCGACCGGCGCACGGGUGAGUAACGCGUAUCCAACCUGCCCAUCACUUGGGGAUAACCUUGCGAAAGUAAGACUAAUACCCAAUGAUAUCUCUAGAAGACAUCUGAAAGAGAUUAAAGAUUUAUCGGUGAUGGAUGGGGAUGCGUCUGAUUAGCUUGUUGGCGGGGUAACGGCCCACCAAGGCGACGAUCAGUAGGGGUUCUGAGAGGAAGGUCCCCCACAUUGGAACUGAGACACGGUCCAAACUCCUACGGGAGGCAGCAGUGAGGAAUAUUGGUCAAUGGACGAGAGUCUGAACCAGCCAAGUAGCGUGCAGGAAGACGGCCCUAUGGGUUGUAAACUGCUUUAUAAGGGAAUAAAGUGAGUCUCGUGAGACUUUUUGCAUGUACCUUAUGAAUAAGGACCGGCUAAUUCCGUGCCAGCAGCCG
rnacentral:rRNA from 1 species